GUCCACGCCGUAAACGAUGAUAACUAGUUGUUCGGUCACUUGGUGACUGAGUGACGCAGCUAACGCAUUAAGUUAUCCGCCUGGGGAGUACGGUCGCAAGAUUAAAACUCAAAGGAAUUGACGGGGGCCUGCACAAGCGGUGGAGCAUGUGGUUUAAUUCGAAGCAACGCGCAGAACCUUACCAGCGUUUGACAUCCCGCGCUACCCAGAGAGAUUUGGGGUUCCCUUCGGGGACGCGGUGACAGGUGCUGCAUGGCUGUCGU
rnacentral:rRNA from 1 species